rnacentral:rRNA from 4 species
AUACAACUUUCAACAACGGAUCUCUUGGCUCUCGCAUCGAUGAAGAACGCAGCGAAAUGCGAUAAGUAAUGUGAAUUGCAGAAUUCAGUGAAUCAUCGAAUCUUU